CCUAGCCACAGUGUCUUUGGCCUCUGCAGCUCCAUUUUUCCUAUGAAAAUCUUUAUUGUCCUCUAAAGGUCAGCUCCAACUCCACCUCUCAUGGUGACGUCUUUCCUGCUUCUAGAAGUCGGUAAUAUUUGCUGGUGAUCUUCCUGACCCAAGGAUCGAACCUGGGUCUCCUGUGUUGCAGGCAGACUCUUUACUAUCAGAGCCACCAGGGAAGCCCAGAUGGUACUGAUGAACCUAAUAUCUGCAGAACAGGAACAGCGAUGCAAAGAAUUGGGUUUGAAUGAGAAAGAAUGUGAAGGACUACACCUGGUCCACCUUCUUUAUGAGAACAGCCUGCUGGGUCCUGGAGAAGACAGGAAGAUUUGGACCUCUGGGUGCUCUUUGCUUGAGUCCACACUGCAGAAUGUAUGGAUGUGAGAGUUGGACUAUAAAGAAAGCUGAGCGCUGAAGAAUUGAUGCUUUUGAACUGUG